rnacentral:rRNA from 1 species
UACAGAGGGUGCGAGCGUUGUCCGGAAUCACUGGGCGUAAAGGGCGCGCAGGCGGCGCGGUAAGCGUGCGGUGAAAGCCCGGGGCUCAACCCCGGGUCGGCCGUGCGGACUGCCGGGCUGGAGCACUGUAGAGGCAGGUGGAAUUCCGGGUGUAGCGGUGGAAUGCGUAGAGAUCCGGAAGAACACCGGUGGCGAAGGCGGCCUGCUGGGCAGUAGCUGACGCUGAAGCGCGACAGCGUGGGGAGCAAACAGG